rnacentral:rRNA from 1 species
CCUACGGGAGGCAGCAGUGGGGAAUAUUGGACAAUGGGCGCAAGCCUGAUCCAGCAAUACCGCGUGUGUGAAGAAGGCCCUAGGGUUGUAAAGCACUUUCAAUGGGGAGGAAAAAGAACUGGCUAAUACCCGGUUUAUUGACAUUACCCAUACAAGAAGCACCGGCUAACUCCGUGCCAGCAGCCGCGGUAAUACGGAGGGUGCAAGCGUUAAUCGGAAUUACUGGGCGUAAAGCGUGCGUAGACGGUACGUUAAGUCAGAUGUGAAAGCCCUGGGCUCAACCUGGGAACUGCAUUUGAAACUGGCGAACUAGAGUUGAGUAGAGGUAAGUGGAAUUUCAGGUGUAGCGGUGAAAUGCGUAGAUAUCUGAAGGAACACCAGUGGCGAAGGCGACUUACUGGACUCAAACUGACGCUGAGGUACGAAAGCGUGGGUAGCAAACAGGAUUAGAUACCCUGGUAGUCCACGCCGUAAACGAUGUCAACUAGCCGUUGGGUCUCUUUGAGACUUAGUGGCGCAGCUAACGCAUUAAGUUGACCGCCUGGGGAGUACGGCCGCAAGGUUAAAACUCAAAUGAAUUGACGGGGGCCCGCACAAGCGGUGGAGCAUGUGGUUUAAUUCGAUGCAACGCGAAGAACCUUACCUACCCUUGACAUCCAGAGAAUCUGUUAGAGAUAGUAGAGUGCCUUCGGGAGCUCUGAGACAGGUGCUGCAUGGCUCUCGUCAGCUCGUGUUGCGAAAUGUUGGGUUAAGUACCGUAACGAGCUCAACCCUUAUCCUUAGUUGCCAGCGAGUCAAGUCGGGGACUCUAGGGAGACUGCCGGUGAUAAACCGGAGGAAGGUGGGGACGACGUCAAGUCAUCAUGGCCCUUAUGGGUAGGGCAACACACGAUAGACAAUGGUCGGUUCAGAGGGCAGCGAACUUUUGAUAUUAAGCAAAUUCCAGAAAGCCGUUCUUAGUCCGGAUUGGAGUCUGCAAAUUGUUUUCAUGAAGUUCAGGAAACAUUAAUGACCAAUCUUGAAGCAACCGUGAUAGCGUACCCUAUAGCUUGCUCAACUAUGCGUCCCACCAUUGGAGAGGUUUGCAAAAGAAUCGC